AGAUCAGUGUGGUUUUGCCCUUGCCCUGCCUCUUUCCCCUGGGGGAAAGUGGCAGGGCAAGGGCAAGUCUGGACGAGC